rnacentral:lncRNA from 1 species
GGGGGGGGGGGGGGGGGAGGUUGGGGGGUUGCUUGUGGUGGCUACAGACCGAGCUUAUAAAAGAGCAACCUCACCCCUGAAGUCAAAUCAGUAUGGAUUCAGUGAGCAAAGUGACUCAAUGGGUGAUCAGGUCUGUGGGUAAGUGGGUCAGUGGUAUAGUGGUGUAGUGGAAAAGUGGUGUAGUGGAUUAGUGGUACAAUAGUUUAGUGGUGCAGUGGUUUAGUGGUGCAGUGCAAUUAGCAGGCGGAAUCGCAACAUGAGUUAAGCUCAUUGUAUAUCGGCAAGAAACUAAGUCUGUGAAAGCGCUUCCAGCACCGUGUGCAAAGGUUUCAACUUAUUUUCUUGCAUCGGAUUUUUUACUCCUCUUCAAACGCUUCAUAUUAAUUUUCUAAUUGACAAGAGACAGGGUCAGAGUGGAAGCUACUUUCAGCGUUUUAAUCAUCGGCAUGAAACGAGCGUAAUGAAAGCUGUUUCACUUCAUUUUUUACUAUUGUCCACCAAGUCCAACCAUCGAGGAAAAUCUGUGAUUUAAAGGUACCAAUAUAGUUGAAUCACGGUGAUGU